rnacentral:lncRNA from 1 species
CCGAAAGAAAUUAAGCCUGACUAAGGGAACUCUUGGAGGCACUUGUGAUACUGACUGGGCUUUCAUGCUGUCUACAUUUAAUUGAUUUGUUUUUCUUUUGGGCUUUGCAAUCUCUGUUUCUUCCCUACAGAUGACAUCAUCUCCUGAACACGGAGUUGCUGUAGACCUCACCACCGAGGUGAAUUUGUUACUGCCACUCACUAGAGAGAGAAGGAGCUCCCGCACUGUUGGCUGAGGAACUUUGGACAUUUCUGGCAUUGGGUAUCAUCUUACUUUACUGUGUGACUAGGGGAAAAAGGAGCAGAAGCUAAAUAUGUCAGAGGACAUCACUGAAAGAUUACAAAGGUAGUGAAGAAUGAACCGCCUUCAUCAGGCUUCUUUGCUGAAGACAAGUCCUUUGAAAGGAUUCAGUUUUGUUAUGACUCCAUUCAGUGAGCCUUUCCGUACUGCCCUGGGUAGCUUUGCUGCCGUUCACCUGCCUGCGGAUGGAAAAGGAUGUGUUCACCACAGAGAUAAAAGCUGAGAUUGACUCUUCCACAAGGUUUCAAUAGGAAAGAAGACCAGGAGCCAGUGAACCAGAAUGAGGAGGAAGUCAGAAAACAUGCCAUUCAAUUCAUCUUGUAGCACAAAAGCAGGUAAGUGUUUGUGACUCAAAGUGCUCAGAGAUCCUUGAUGAGUCAUUUCUCCACGUACGUG